ACGGAAGGCAGCAGUGGGGAAUAUUGGGCAAUGGGCGCAAGCCUGACCCAGCAACGCCGCGUGAAGGAUGAAGGUCUUCGGAUUGUAAACUUCUUUGAUCAGGGACGAAUAAAUGACGGUACCUGAAGAACAAGUCACGGCUAACUACGUGCCAGCAGCCGCGGUAAUACGUAGGUGACAAGCGUUAUCCGGAUUUACUGGGUGUAAAGGGCGUGUAGGCGGUUUGGCAAGUCAGAAGUGAAAUUCCCGGGCUUAACUUGGGCGCUGCUUCUGAAACUGCUUAACUUGAGUACUGGAGAGGAUAGUGGAAUUCCUAGUGUAGCGGUAAAAUGCACAGAUAUUAGGAGGAACACCGGUGGCGAAGGCGGAUUGCUGGACGACAACUGACGGUGAGGCGCGAAAGCGUGGGGAGCAAACAGGAUUAGAUACCCGGUA
rnacentral:rRNA from 1 species